GCGCGUCAAGGGCACACCCGUCGAAAGGCGGGGCCGCAAAUCCUCCGGGCUAAAUCCUCCACGGACAUGCUAGCGGGGUUGCCGUA
rnacentral:ncRNA from 1 species